rnacentral:lncRNA from 1 species
AAUUUUAUAAGAUGCGGUAAAAUUACCUACAGUCCUGAGGGAGGCCCGACAUUGCCAAGUUUUUGUCCUUGCUUUCUCCUGGUAAUCAGGUUUGUAUAUGGAUGGAUUGUUGAUCCAGUCUGCUUAGGUUUUCUUUUUGCAAAUUUUGGUACAUUUUUUUUUAUUUCCUUCAUCCAUCUUAACUAUUUACCUUCUGCUUGGGGUUAAUGUCAAAUGACUGCAUAUGAGGAUUCUGGUUUAUGCAGAAGCGUUCUCUCUCUCUCUCCUUUUUUUUUUGUUUUCGUAUUGAAACC